AGAAAGGAAACACCUCCGCGGGUGACACUUCUUGCAUAGUUCAGCCUCCAGGGCAUACACUCCAACUUGAAUUUCAUACCACAGCUCAGGUGUGUGUGGGAGAAGGGCUGCGCAGGGGAGGGGGGAGCGCAGGGAGAGGGCAGAGGGACUUUGAGCCAGAGAGAGGGAGAGAGCUGAGAGCUAAGCAGAGGGAGGAGGGGGUAAGGGUGACAGUUCCUUCAUCCCAAAGGACUUGAGUCUUCACUUCAGAGAAUUUUUUUUUAGUGACAUUUGAACGAUGCUGCAGUCUCCCAUUCAUUUGGUUUCUGGUUGCCCUUUAAAUGUAAUAUUCCAACUGAGAGGUCAAGCUGGUGUGUGGGGUGGGGUUUCAUGAAAAGGAUCCAAGCCAGACAGUUCUGAGCGUCAAGAAGCUCCUGUCUAAAGCUGGAAGCCUGCAAAAAUUAACCAUUUACCACCCAGGCCCCGGAACCUGAGCACCACUGUGACUUUCUAACUGUUCCAUUCUGAGGGUUUGCUGAAGAAAACCUCAAAAGGAAACAGUGCUAUGUUUUCAGAAAUUCCCUCCCCCUCCCCCUCUCCCUCCCCCUUCCCUCUCUGUGUGUGUCCUACAAACCCAUUUCUACACCAAUAGGGAGAUGUUGUUUUCCGUGGUGGCCAGAAUUGAGAAUCAGACCCCCUGGAAUUGGAGUUACCCCUGGUUGAGGGCCACCCUGUGGGAACUAGGAAUUGAACCCUUAUCCUCUGAAAGAGCAGCCAGUGCUCUUAACUGCUUAGCCAUUGCUCCGGCCCCUAGAAAUAAUCUUGUGGCCAGGUGUGGUGGAGCACACCUUUAAUCCCAGAGGCAGAUGGAUUUCUGAGUUCGAGGCCAGCCUGGUCUACAGAGUGAGUUCCAUGAGCAGAGGAUGUCUUUGAAAGGUUACUACAAACAUGACCCCGGAGGGCUCUGGACCAUGCAAGACAGCCUUCCAGCUUGAUGACUGGAACCGUUGUUUGCUGUAAGAAUCACGUUGUCAGACACGCAGCUUGUCAUUUAUGUGACCACAGCAUCCUGAUGGGCCUCCUUCCAUCGUGACCAGUUUACUUAAGAAAGAAAACACUACUAAGAGGACAAGAGACAAGGCCAUUGGCAUAAACUACAAAGUAGAAACAACUGGGUCUUUCCUUAGAGAAUCGGAAUGUAAAAUCUCAUUCUUUCCAGGACCAUGGAACCUCAAACUUCAGCGCUUCACAGUACGACCUCAGGAAUUAAACAUCAAAAUGUGAGCCUGGACCUUAAAUCACUCUGAGGAGAAUACAAACUAUAGAGACCUAUCCAGACCACAGCAAAUGUCACCAAGAGGACUUUGAAAUGGUACAAUACAACUUGGGAUAACAU
rnacentral:lncRNA from 1 species